GCUAAAAACCUAGCCCAACUAAACAUGAAUAUCCUCAAAUUAAUUUAUUUUUAAUAAUAAAUCAUUUUGUUAUUUUAGUAAAGGAGAUUGAAAAAUUUAUUGGAGCUAUAAUAACAGUACCGCAAGGGAACGGUGAAAUAUGAAAUGAAAAAUUUUUAAGCAAGAAAAAGUAAAGACUACUCCUUGUACCUUUUGCAUCAUGGUUUAACUAGUCCAAUCAAGCACAACGUAUUUAAGUUUGACUUCCCGAAACUAAGUGAGCUACUUCAAGGCAGCUGAUAGAGCGAACCCGUCUCUGUAGCAAAAGAGUGGGAUGAUCUUCAAGUAGCGGUGACAGACCUAACGAGCUUAGUGAUAGCUGGUUACUCAAGAAAUGGAUCUAAGUCCAACCUGAAAUUCAUUCUAGUCCACCAAAACAACCACCUGAAUUUCAGCGUAAUUCAAAUAAGGUACAGCCUAUUUGAAACAGGAUACAACCUAAAUUAAUGGAUAAGACUAGCUCAAUACACAACCAAGUGGGCCUAAAAGCAGCCACCUUUUAAAUAGCGUCAAAGCUUAAUUGUUAUUUUUGCCUAAUUACUUAAUUAUUAUCUUAAUCCUCUAUUAAUACUGAGUAAUUCUAUAUUAUUAUAGAAAUUUUUAUGUUAAAACUAGUAACAAGAAGAAGACUCUUCUCUUUAAUGUAAGUGUAAAUCAGAAAGGACAAACCACUGAUAAUUAACGUCACUGAAACCAAAGUAGAAACUCAUCAAGAAAAAUCUACUUUCAUUAACGUUAACCUAACACAAGGACAUUUCAAGAAAGAUUAAAAGAAAAAGAAGGAACUCGGCAAACAUUAACCUCGCCUGUUUACCAAAAACAUCGCCUCUUGAUUCUUAUAAGAGGUCCAGCCUGCCCAGUGACCAUGUUCAACGGCCGCGGUAUCCUAACCGUGCGAAGGUAGCGUAAUCACUUGUUCUUUAAAUGUGGACUAGUAUGAAUGGCACCACGAAGGUUAUACUGUCUCCUUUUUCUAAUCAGUGAAACUAAUCUCCCCGUGAAGAAGCGAGGAUAUACCUACAAGACGAGAAGACCCUAUGGAGCUUUAAACAACACAGCAAUUACCUGCUAAACUAAGAAGUUUCUGAACAUUUUCAAUCUUUUAAGUAAUCUGACUGCAAGUUUUUGGUUGGGGUGACCACGGAGCAUAACACAACCUCCAUGUUGAAAGAAUUCUUUCUAAGCCAAGAACAACCUUUCUAAGCAUCAAUAUAUUGACAUCCAUUGACCCAAUACAUUUGACCAACGAACCAAGUUACCCUAGGGAUAACAGCGCAAUCCACUUCAAGAGCUCCUAUCGACAAGUGGGUUUACGACCUCGAUGUUGGAUCAGGGUAUCCCAGUGGUGCAGCCGCUACUAAAGGUUCGUUUGUUCAACGAUUAAAACCCUACGUGAUCUGAGUUCAGACCGGAGUAAUCCAGGUCAGUUUCUAUCUAUACAUGAGUUUCUUCUAGUACGAAAGGACCGGAGAAACGCGGCCCAUAUUUUUUACAAGCCGCAGCUACUAAAUUAUGAUUUAAACUCAAUAAUAUUGUAGCCCAUAAUUUUACUCAAGACAAGAGUAG
rnacentral:rRNA from 1 species